rnacentral:lncRNA from 1 species
UUUUCUUUUUAAGGUCAAGUUGGACCAUUUUGAACCAGUCUCUUAUUUUAUUAAUAAAAACUAGAAGGUGUAAAAUACUCUUUAAAAUAUUCAUUAGAGAGACAACCAGUUUUUCAUAUUACGAAUAAUAACAACAACAACAACCCAGUAUAAUCUCAUUUAGUGGGGUCUGGGGAGGAUAGUAUGUACGUUUUACCCUUACCCUUGGAUAGAGAUGCUGUUUCCAAAUAGACCCCCGACACCCUUCCUCCAAGAAUUUCCCACCUUGCUCUUGGGGAGACUCGAACUCACAACCUCUCGAUUGGAAGUGAAAGUUGCUUACCAUCAGAGCAACCCCUCUUGUCCAUAUUACAAAUAACAAGUUCCUUAAAUUUAAUAAGACAUCCAAUUAGUAGAAAGAAAUUUAUGCUCGUUUAAUAAACUGGAUUGGGGGGAUUUUUAGACUAAAAAAUAAAAGAUAAAUAAUUAAAAUUAUGGAAUUUGAAGUUCUAUGAUUUUUCAGUAAGGUUAAGUAAAAUUGAAAUGAAUCUACAUUUAACUCAUGAUAAAACUUGGAGAUUUGGGAUCAGUCUCUUGUUUUUUUGUUGAUAAAACUAAAAGGUGUCAAAGUACUCAUUUAGAAAAUUUUCAGAAAGAUACCCCCUUUUUUUAAUUAUAAAUGAGUUUCUGAAAUUUACUGACACUUACAAUUAGCAAAAAGAAAUGUAUGCUCGUUCAAUAGAUCGGAUUGGACAGGGAAGCGAAGUAAUGGGCUGAGAACAAAGGAACAUGCUUACUUGGACAGGGUCAAUGAUUGAAUGUUAGGGGAGAGGUGCUAGCAUAAGAUCGGUCCACGCAGUUGAAUUUAUAUCCUAAUUUGUGGCAGCGAGGGCCUGCAUUUCCGUGAUCCUUACCAAUUUCAAGUCCUAUUUUUUAGGCCCAAUAAGCAAUAUGUGCGGCUGCCUUAGAAGUAGGCCCAUUUGCAUUGCGGCAUUUGCAUUUAUAUAUGCUUUUUGUGUUAUGUUUUAGCCCGCUUUCAAAAAAAUAAAAUAAAUGUAUCUGUUUUUAUUAAAAUUUAGUAUACGAGACUAAAGUAACAAAGAUAAUCAUGCAAAAUUUAGAGCUGAAGUUUUUAGUUGCAACUAUUUUUGGGGAGGAAGAUUUUUGAGAAGUAUUUUUGCUGACACCUUAAUAAUCAACAGAAACGGUAGGCCUUGAAGUUAAUGUCACACAAAGCAAUCAAAAACAAAGAAAAGAAUUAAAGAUAUUUGGAGAUUUCUAAUAGCAAAAACACUAAAAACGCUUACCCCACAGGAAAGAAAUGCUAAACAGGUGCAACAAAGUAAAGGAAUAGAUACUGAUGGCUAGUUUACGACGAGGGGUUCAGUUGGACAUGGACAAAGAUAUUCAGCUUAGAAAAAAAACAAGUCCAGUUUUUUACGCUCCAUAUCAUGAGUAAGAGAGAUAUUGUUAUAUUAAGGUUAAGUUCCGGAGAGAUAUGGAGAACAAGGGAAAAAGAGGAGAAGAAAGAGAGCUAAAGUUAUUUAAAAAGCAAGUAUAAGUUAAAAAAAUUUUUAAAAAUGGAUAUAGGUUAAAUGAGGAUGACCAAAUAAGGCGCCCGAUGCAGUUUUUACAUUUGCAUUUCCUUUUCAAUGUAUUCUUAUGUGUUAAAUCUAGUACUCUCUUUUAGCCCAGAGAAAUUCAGAAAUAGCUAGAUUUACAAGUGGUCAUUCAACAAUAGUCACAGUUUUAAAAGUAAUCGAAAUUCAGUCAGUUUUCAUGUAAAGAUAAAUUUAAACAAAAAUAUUUUUGAAAAUCCAGAAAAAUGUUCCUUUAUAUUAUAAUGGAGUUCCAACAUAAGUAUACUUGAACUCCGAUAUAUUAUAAUGGAGUUCCAACAUAAGUAUACUGGAACCCCAUCAUAAUAUACUAGAGUUCCAGUAUAAUAUACCGGUCCAGCAUAAUAUGCUACAAACUCAUACACAAGUGCUCUAGUCACCAUUAUAUUACGCUGGAACUUUCCGCGUGUUGGAAUACCAGUAUAAUAUGCUGGAAGUUUAUAGGUGCACCGACCUCUAGUAUAGUAUAUUGAACCGGUAACAAAAUAGUGGUUAUUUUUAAUGACUUUACAAACACUAAUUAUUUUUGAAUGACCAGUCUGAAAACUGGCUAGCCCGUAUUAUUUGCCCUUUUUAGCCGGAAUGGGAUAAUGGGCCGGCUGAGGGUUGGUCCAGGCCCAAACGAAAAGAACCUCUUUUGUGCUUGUAUUUUUUUUUUGUUUGAAAUAAUUUUAUAGCAUUACCUCGUUUAAAUUUUAGGGAUUUUUACAUACCUACACACUAUUGGAAAUCUUAUUACCCUCCAUGCUCAAGUUUCAAGUUAAUUACUUCAUAUAUACAAAGUUACCAAUUAUAUACACUUUAGAAAUUAAAUGAGUAUCCCUUUAUAUUAGGAAUUAAUUAUUUCUCAUCUUUAUUAUCUCCCUCAUGCUCUCUCUCUCUCUCUCUCUCUCUCUAUAUAUAUAUAUAUAUAUANNNNNNNNNNNNNNNNNNNNNNNNNNNNNNNNNNNNNNNNNNNNNNNNNNNNNNNNNNNNNNNNNNNNNNNNNNNNNNNNNNNNNNNNNNNNNNNNNNNNNNNNNNNNNNNNNNNNNNNNNNNNNNNNNNNNNNNNNNNNNNNNNUAUAUAUAUAUAUAUAUCAAUCUCUAAUUUCAGUAAUAUAGAGCAAAGGAAAAUAGAGCAUCAAUUCCACCAUUGACAACCAUUAAAAAAUUUUAAAGUUUUGAAUGCGAAUUUAGAUUUCAAAAAAUAUUAUUUAUUUGAACUGGGUCUUGUUGCAAAUAAUUGGGAAUUCUCUCUGUCUCUCUAUAUCUCUCAAUCCCUAAUUCCAAUAAUGUAAAGCAAAGGAAAAGAGAGCAGCAAUUCCACCAUUGACAGUCAUUAAAAAGCUUUGAAGCUUUGAAUUCGAAUUUGAGUUUUGAAAAAUAAUUAUUUAUUUGGAUUCGGUGUUGUUGCAAAUAAUUGGAAAUAUGGUUUAGAAUUACUAUCUCAAUUUUAAGAGUGUUUUGGUGAAGAUUAGACUUGAUUUUGACUGAAUUUCAGAUUGAAACUCUAAGAAUAUGUAUGUCAUGUAUGUAUGUAUGUAUGUAUGUAUGUUUAUUUAAAUAUUAUAUAAAAGUCGAACAAUAUUGUAUAAAAAUUGUAUUAUGUUGUAUGAUAUUAUAUUUGUAUAUAACAAGGAAAAACUAAUGUAUGAAAAUUGUAGAUAAGUUGUAUAAUAUAUAAUCAAAUAUAUACAGUUUGUUUUUAUUAUGUAUAAAUUAAAAUACAAAAUAUACAAAAGACAUAUUAUAUAAAAUUUAAGUAAAAAUUAUAUUUACGUGGUAUGAUAUUGUAGUUAUAUAUAAUUGGAUAGAAAUAAUAUGAGGUAAUUCCUGGAAACACCGUAUAGUCUACACUUUUUUCGUAGCACCUUUUUUUUAAGCUUUCUUUUUUGUUUGUUUAGGAUUUGUUUAUUUUGAAAUUAAUCUGAGAUUCAUUUCCGCCCCUUAUAGUCGAAGUGGUUUACUGUAGUAGGCAGAAGGGAGUAUUUUAAUAUUCACUUCCAACCAAAAGGUUGUGAGUUCGAGUCUCCCCAAGAGUAAGGUGGGAAGUUCUUGGAUGGAAGGAUGCCCCUAUUUGGAAACAGCCUCUCUACCUAAGGGUUGGGGUAAAGUCUGCGUACACACUACCCUCCCCAGACCUCACUAAGUGGGAUUAUACUGGGUGGUUGUUGUUGUUGUUGUUUCUUCUGGUACUCUCAUUCCUCGAACUCUCAAGAGGAAGGAAUUCAGCCUGUCAUUGGUAACAGAAAUCAGAAUGAAUAACCCCAGAAAGAAGGGAGAGUUAUAAUUAGAUGCACAGAAAACCUGACAGAGGUCAGUGCCUGAACUUCUACGUUUUCUCUGUAUGUUUUUUCGUCUUUCUCUUGGUUCCUUCAAUAACAAGAUCUGCUUUAGAAAUAUGGAGUACCAUCUUUAGAUUUUUUUUUUUUUGGAUAGUAUUUGGUUUGGUUGAUAAAGGAAAGCUUCCAAAUUUGUGAGGUAAUGUGGCUGACUGGCUAAGUCCAUCCCUUUGCUCCUUUCCAGAUUUUUAGACUUCGAUCACUACUGGAAUAUCGGGAAAUAAAAUAUUUAAUAUGCGUAGGAAAAAAAAUCUAAAAUGCAUUUGUUUGGAGAGAAGAAAGAGAAAAAGAAAAAGGGUGUAAUUAAAUUUCUUGAUUGAAGACACAAAUAAUAAAUUGAGAGUCUUAUAAGAUGGAUUGUAGUAUACAUUUUAUAACUAAAAUGUAUUUAUGUAGGAUAAAUACCAAAAUAUAAAUAUUUUUUAUAAUAAAAUGUUAAAUAGUGUAUAGAAACGAAAAAUCCCUAAAUUUUAUCCGAGGGUGGUGGAAAAAAUAAAAAAUAAAAACAACAAAUAUAGCCACCCACCGGGCAGGCCAUUCUCCUUGUUCCUGUCAUAAAGUGGGCGUUUGCUAUGUCAAGUUAUUUACUAUAUGUACGGAGGGCACUCAAAUUCAUUCCCGAAAAAUGAUUUUGACAUUGAUUGAAAUGUAGAAGACAAAUAUUCCAGGAAACCUCUAAUUUAGUUGAAAAAUGUCUAGUUUGUUAAUGUAACAAUCCGGCCGGUCAUUUUAUGAGUUAUAUCUCUGUUUUUUCUGUUUUUGCUUUCUUCUAUGUUCUUUAACUGUGUUUUAUCUUAUCAUGUUGGUUGAUUCGAGACCGGAGUAGUCUUGGAAUGGGAUGAGGCACUUAGCCUCAUAUUUAGAAGCUUAAGUUGGGAAAAGUCAAUCGAAUGUUGCCUUAUGUGUAGACGAUCACGAAAUGAAAUUUCAAGAGUUGGAGUAACUUCGUAGGUUAUUGGCGACUUGUGUACAAAAAUUUGAGAACAUUCAGACAAGGUUUGAUUGGUUUCAGAGUCAUUUGUGGAAUGUAUGAGUGUGGGGUUCUUAUGCUUGAAUCCGAGAUUUGAUUCGAUGUUUGGUAUUGUUUGGACUAAGUUUGAAUGAUGCUAUGAGACGUGUUAGUAUGUUUGGUUGUGGUCUCUAAGGCCCCGGAUGUGUCUCGGCUAGUUGUCGGAGGAGAUUAGCUGUUGAAAACAUGUGCUGGGUUGCUGAAAGGAUUGCUGGUGUUUUUGGGGGUUCUCUAAAGUUGAGAACACGGAAUCGUGGACCGCGCAAGAAGUUCGUGGUCAGUGGUAUGGUUUCGCGGGGGCGGCAGAAUUCUACGCUCAUCGGAGGAGGGCUAGCGCGGACAACAAAAUGUAGAGGCGCGGCCGCGGAGUUAGUGGCACGGGGGCGCUUGCUUUUGCACGAUCAGCAAAAUUGGGAUCCGGGAGAUGCUCUAUGAAUACGAGAUUCAAAGUUUUAUUUUCAUAUUUUGAUCUAGAGAGCUCGGGCUUUAGCGAUUUUUUGUGGGAAUUUCAAGAAAACCAUCGGGAUAAGUGGUUCUAACUCAAUUUUGGCUAAACUACAUGAUUAUAACGUUAGAUUCAUCAUUUGAGUAGAGAUUUAGGAUGAAAAUUGGGAAAUAUUUGUGAAACUUCAUAAAAUGAACUUUUGAGAUUUGAAAGCCAAUUUGAAGUCGGAAUCGAGUGAAAAUAGUAUGGUUAAUCUCGUAAUUGAGUGGAUUGUCAUAUUUUGUGACUUUGGUCGGAUUUCAAGACGUGCGUUCGGGGGCCGUCUUUUGAGUUGACUUUUGGUCUUAAGCUUCGCAUUUUCUUAUGGAAUUGAUUCCUUUAGCUCGUGUUGAUUGUACCAAAUUGUUUAUGGCUAGAUUCGGAGCAUCUAGAGUUCGUGUUGAGGGGCAAAGGCAUAGCAGAGUAGAAUUUUGGCUUGAUUGAGGUAAGUAACACUUCCAAACUUGGUUCUGAGGGUCCAAAACCUUGACCAAUGUGCUAUAUGAUGGUAUUGAGGUGAUGCACAUGCCAAGUGACAGGCAUGCUGCUAUGCACCAUGAGAAUUGUGACCUGGUUCAUUCCAUGCACCGAUUAGUAAUUCUAUCUUUUUAAUAUCUGUGUUUAUUCAUGUGAUGAAGUAAAUGGACCGUAAAUCAUGCUAGUUAUCAUGCUGGGGCUUUACGCCGAUCUUGUUGGGACCCAUAGUUGCCGUUUCUUGCUGUCAUCUAACUUAUUUCAUUGAUAUUCUAUACUUAGUCAUAUUCAUGCAUUCCAUAUCACAUCUCAGUCUCAACUGUUAUUUAUUUCCACGUCAUAUCAUUGUUCCACGAUACUUUUCAUUGCAUUGCGAGCCCGAGGGAGAGACUGGAGAGUGAUGACUGAGUGAGGCGGAGAGCCUGAUUAUGAGUGACAAUUAUGGAUCGGGUUGCACAUCACUACGGAUUAUUGAUAUAUGCCUUUGUUGGAUUGUGAUAGCGCUUGGGCUGAAGGAACCCCUCCGGAGUCUGUAACACACCUUAGUGAGCGCGAUUGAUUAUAUUCAGGGACGAAUCUUCCCUUGGUAUGGAGAUGGAUCUUCUAUGUGAGGCCGAAUUGGCAUGUUCCUCGGUACUGGAGACUGAUGGUUUGUGAUGUAUAUAUAUGUAAGGCCCCGUGAAAAUGCGUGCUCAGAUGUUAGCAGCUCAUAGAGUCGAGUCUACGUACAUGGAUCAGAUUCUUUUUACAGUUUUGAACUUGAAAAUGUAAAAUCAAAAUUUUUCCAGAAUAUGGUCAAAAUGCGGUCCAGAAUGCGGUCGUAGAUCAGCUAUGCAGACCGCAUUCCUACUGCAGAGUGAAUCAGAGAGCAACCAGUUUUUGAUGUAGAAAAUGCGGUCAAAUCUGCGAUCGCAUACAAUAUGCGGACCGCAAAGUGAUCGCAUAUUGUCCCUGAGGAAAUUCAAAAGUCAGUUCUAUGGUGCAUUCUGCGACUGCAGAACUCAAAUGCGGACCGCAUAUUCACCGCAUUCCCAACCCGAGAGGUUUGAAGUUUGAGUCAUUUCUGCGGUCCAUUCUGCGGACCGCAUGUCUGUUAUGCCAUCGCAGAGUUGCAUUGCAGAUUGAGCUCGCCCAGUUAUUUUUCUAAAAGUCUAAGCCCAACCCCUAUUUAAUAAAAACACCCCAUCCCUCAUUUUAAACCCAUUUUCUGAACAAAAUAAGAUAGAGAAAGAGAGGGUCCUAGAGAGAGAAAGCAAAUUCUUCAUCAAUUGAUCUUUCAAAAACUAUUGGAGCUUGGAAAAUUCUUGGUGCAUUGUCUUCUCUAUUGAUUUCUUAGGUAAAAUCCCUAACCCAUUUCCCCAAAAUUUCGAAAUUUAGUUUGGGAAGGGAACACCAUACACUGCUUUGAAUUUUCUUCAUAAAAUCUUCAUGCAUGGCUUCAAAACUCAAAAAUCUUGUAAAAAGGGAGUUGGGUAGUGACUAUGAGUUUAAAUUUCUAAAACCUAAGUGUUUUUCAUGAACUAGAUUGACUUCUGGAUUGCUUGACAAAUCAGACUAAAGGUUUAAAGGGGGAAAACUCAACUCCAGGUAUGUAUGGCUAACUGUGAUCCUUGUGAAAUCGCCCUUAUGCUAGUUGUGAAAUUGUUGAUAGCUGAUAUUCAUGUGCGAAUUAUUGUGAAGCUUUUGUGUGGUAUAAUUGUGUGGUAACGCUUUGUGGUGAAUGUUAUGGAAAUAAUGUGGAACAAUGGAAAUGGAAGUAAUAUGGAACAAUGGAAAUGGUAAUAAUGUGGAAUAGUGGAAAUGGAAAUGUUGUGGAACAAUGUGUGUGAUUAGUUGUGAAUAACUGUUGUGAUGAUCUAAAUUGUGUACCAAAUUGAUGAACAUGAGGAAAUUGUUGUUGCUAGUUGUGGAAUUGCAUUACCUUGUUGUGGAUCUAUGUUAACAAUCUGCCACAGUUGAUUUCUUGUAUUUGUUGAUGUGCUGUUUGUUGUUGUGAAUUUGAAAGCUGUCUGGAGGGGUCGGGAUACGCACCGAAACACGGUAAAAAAAGGUGUGGGUUGGGGUGAUAAGGGUGGCCGAGGUAAUAAGGGUGGACGAGGCAAUAAGGGUGNNNNNNNNNNNNNNNNNNNNNNNNNNNNNNNNNNNNNNNNNNNNNNNNNNNNNNNNNNNNNNNNGGCAAUAAGGGUGGAAAAUGUGAUCCAAUAUCACUAUUGAUAUGAAUAUGAAUCAUGAAAUGAUAAAUGUGAAAAUGUGAAAGGAGACAGCAGGAGAGUUCGUAACCCGCGGGGCACUGAUUGCUCCUUUGUAUGACUACUUGAAUCAUUUGUUGUGAAAUGUUUGGUUGUUUCUCCAUGGUUAUACUUGUACCAUUGUUGAUCAGUUCUAUACUUGUAUAUGCAAAUUUGGCUUGAGUUUACUUGGGACGGAGUUUGUUCAUACAAGCCAGUACAAUUCAAAUGUACUGACGUUCCUUUUGCCGGGGGCGCUACAUUGGUGUUAUGAUUGUAGGUGGAUCCGUGACAGGCACUCCAGUCCACCGUUCGCAGCUCCUCCUCCUCUCUAUCGACGGUAUUCGUGUUUGGUGAGCCCCUUUCCUUCAGGGGCCUUGCGUGGCUCAUGCCACCUAUGUUGUUGCAUAUUGGAGUCUUGUGUCCUUUUGUAAAGGUAUAGCCGGGACCUUGUUACCGGCAAGUGUUGUACUAUCUCUAUCUUAGAGGCUCCAUAGACAGUGGUAUGUGGGUUAGAACUUAUAUAUAAAGGUGUAUGUUUUGGGCGCUGUAAACUUGUAUACCACGUUCCCCGUUAAUCAUAAUGUAUGUUUUGUAAAAGAUGUUCCCUAUUAAUCACAAUGUGUGUUUAUAAAAGAGAUUAGGAUGACACCUCAUUUCCACUCCUAGCUUAGAACUAAGGUUGUUAACAACCUAUACUCAAAGUAAUCCCAUUCCCCAUCCCUUAUAUUAUGUGAUUGAGCCUUGAGAAAAGCAUGUUGGAGUUCUAAUCACCAUAUAGGCCCUAGUCUGACUUAUUUCCAAGUCUGCUCUUGCUUGUUAAACCAUGUAAGAGGCUAGGGGUGUGCCAGUCUCACUUCAUGGCUAGGUAUGACCGCAUCUUACAUUGGUCUUCCUCUAAUCUCCCCUCCUNNNNNNNNNNNNNNNNNNNNNNNNNNNNNNNNNNNNNNNNNNNNNNNNNNNNNNNNNNNNNNNNNNNNNNNAUCACUUUUACACUUAUUCUUAGUUCUUUAAGUCCUACCCCCUCUGGUAAGCAAUUCUUAGGGAACCUGGAGUCUCCUCUGAACUUGAAUGCCUUAGGGCUGGUAAUGCGACACUUGCACUACUCUAAUUGCUUAGAGUGUAAGCAUUGCUUGGGUUUCCUUGAAAAUCUUUGGAACUUUGUAACACUCUAAAAAGAAAGACUCGGAUUUGGGAGCCUGGAUUUGGUAAAAGGCAUAUGUUAGACAUUAAAGUUGUUUCGAGACUCCUCGAGCCUGUUGUAGUUAUUGAUGUAUUCAGCUUUUAUUUCCUUUAAUUUUUUUUUCUGUCCAGUUUUGUAAUAAAUUGUAAUAAAAGAACUUGGGACCUAGUGAAAGGGAAUAUUGGAGGGGUUUACUUUCUUGCAUCAAUAUCAUAUAGAUACCAUGCCCAUAUGCUUUACUUUCUUGCAUCAAUAUCAUAUAGAUACCAUGCCCAUAGGCUUUACUUUCUUGCAUCAAUAUCACCUAGAUGCCAUGUCUAUAAAGCUUUACAUUAUUACAUCAAUCUCAUAUAGAUACCAUGUCUAUAGGAUUUACAUUAUUGCACCAAUAUCAUCUUGAUAUCAUAUCUAUAGGGUUUUACAUUAUUGCGUCAAUCUCAUAUAGUUACCAUGUCUAUAGGGUUUUCAAGUGUUGCAUCAAUCACAUAGAUACCAUAUCUAUAGGGCUUUGCAUUCUUAUAAUUUCAUAUAGAAAUCAUGCAUAUAAGUUUGCAUUCUUAUAAUCUCGCCUAGAAAACAUGCCUAUAGGGAUGUCUAAAACGCUAGGAAAAACAUUAGGUCGUCUAUGUACGUGUAAAGCAGUAACAAAAAGGGCUAAUAAGCAUGUCAUAAAGGUCCAAACUCGCCCAGUAAAACAUUAGGUCGUCUAAAUACGUGUAAAGCAGUAACAAAAAGGGCUAAUAAGCAUGUCAUAAAGUUCCAAACUCGCCCAGUGCUUAGAACGUUUCAGUUCAGUUCGUCCCUAAGUCUAUUUACUUUUAAAUCGGGCCCAGGUCUGCCCCUUUCACAUUACUCUGAACCUGUAAUGUUUUAUAAAACGUUAAAUUUGUGGUUUCAGCUACUUUGCCCGCCUAAGUUUAAUGCUUUAAGGUCUUUUAAACUUUUUUUCUUGCAUCCUAUUUUGAAUUCAAGUUGUUCGGAUGAAUGUAAUCCAUUUUUCAACUCUUCUGCAACUUCAAUUUUCUUUUCAGCAGACUCGCAUCUGAAACUAAUGUUUUUUCUCUAAAAAUCAACUGAUUUCUAAAUCCUGUCAACUCCUAAAAUGGGCCCGGGGUGAUCGAAGCAGAUUUAUAUCAAACUGUUAUGUGUUAAACUAAUCUGCCCACUCUUUUAACCUCUUUUAAUGACCAAAUCAGUAUUUGAAGUCAUGCUAAACUAGUUGCUGCAGUGUUACGGGGUUUUAUUUGACCUUUUGACUGUCUUAUUUGCAUACCUCUUAUAUGCUACAUGUUUUGACUGUCGUUCUAGUAUGGUUUUAUUUGAUCUUUUGACUGUCUUAUUUGCAUACCUCUUAUAUGCUACAUGUUUUUACUGUCAUUCUAGUAUUUUUACCUUUGAAACUCCAUAUAUAUCCUAUCUCUCUCUCCCCUUCUUAGGAUUAGAAGUCCUAAUACCCCAGGACUAACAGGUUGGGACGGGUAUUAGCAUGUAAUACGUAAACGAUACCAAUGUGCUUAAAUACCUUAACGGCAUGGAAAGGAUAGAAUACGGAGAAGAUGACUGGUACGCUAAUACCAUAUGCGACCCCUCUUUGAGGAGUGUGUGCGGGGUACUGUACCGAUGUGAUCCAUAUGAUAGUUAAACCUAGGACCCUUCUCUCUUUUAUUUGCUUUAUUUAAAUGAUUUCUCUAUAGUGAUGUUUUCUUUCAAAUCAAUCCUAUUUUAUUUUCAAACUUAUGCCCUUCCUUCUUCUUUUAAAGCUUUCCAAGUUGUGUGAAUAUUACACAUGUAAAUCUUAUUUGUCUAUUUGCUCCAUCUCUUCAUAAAGUCACAAUUAACACGGCCGGNNNNNNNNNNNNNNNNNNNNNNNNNNNNNNNNNNNNNNNNNNNNNNNNNNNNNNNNNNNNNNNNNNNNNNNNNNNNNNNNNNNNNNNNNNNNNNNNNNNNNNNNNNNNNNNNNNNNNNNNNNNNNNNNNNNNNNNNNNNNNNNNNNNNNNNNNNNNNNNNNNNNNNNNNNNNNNNNNNNNNNNNNNNNNNNNNNNAAGGGGUUCCUAACACCUUCCCCUCGAGAUAAUCUCAAGUCCUUACCCGAACUCUGGUUUUCUUUUAAAAAUAAUCCCUUCUUAAAGUGUCCUAAUGCACUAUAUCAUUAGGUGGCGACUCUUCAAAUUCAGUAACCUAAUUCCCAAACGGGAAUGAGAGUUGUUUGGCCUAUAAUAUCGUAAACCCGAUUUCACUUUUUGAAAAAGGGGGAGUCGACAACGAGUGCCGCUUGAGAAAAUUCCGAGGGCACAGAAUGUUGAAGCAGACGGCCUAGCAAAACUUGCCACGGCCACUAAAUCUUUUCACAAAGAGAGCGUGGUCACCCUCCUCCAUUCAUCCAUCGACCAUACUGAGGCAUUCUCAUUAAAUCUGACCUGGGGCUGGCGCAACCAAUUUGUAUCCUACCUACAGGAUGUAACGCUGCCACUCGAAAAAAAAGAGGCAAAGAAACUCCGCAUACAAGCUUCCCGGUAUUGCCUGAUAAACAACGUCCUAUACAAAAGAAUGUUCGGCGGACCCUUGCCCAAAUGUCUAGGGCCGCACUAAAGGAGGCUAGUGCUCGAAGAAGUGCACGAGGGGUUACUGCGGUUCCCACACAGGUAACCGCUCCCUCGUACGAUGCCUCAUAGGGGCCGGCUACUACUGGCCUACCAUGAAGAAAGAAGCAGCGGAAUACGUUCGUCGGUAGGAGCAGUGCCAAAAAUACGCCCCUAUGAUACACCAACCAGGAGAACCUCUCCACUUGGUCACAUCCCCAUGGCCCUUCAUCAAGUGGGGAAUGGACAUAGUCGGACCCCUCCAUGCGGGACAAGGAAAGGUACGAUUUCUACUAGUUUUAACUGACUAUUUCUCUAAGUGGGUGGAAGCACGUGCGUACGCUCAAAUAUGCGAACAAGAGGUCAUCACCUUCACAUGGGAAAAAUAUCAUAUGCCUCUUCAGCAUCCCCAAGGAAAUCACCUGUGACAACGGACGAUAAUUUAUCGGUCAAAAAACGAAAAAAAUUCUUCAAAAAAUGGCAUAUCAAAUGAAUAUUCUCAACGCCAUACCAUCCCGCCGCCAAUGGCCAAAAAGAAUCCUCCAACAAGACAAUACUAAAUAUACUAAAAAGGAAGCAUGAGGAGGCCAAAUGGCUAUGGACUGAACUACUACCAGAAGUAAUAUGGGCCCAUUGGACCACACCCAAAUCCAGAACAGGGGAACCACCGUACUCACUGAUUUACGGAAUCGACGCGAUCAUGCCAGUCGAGGUCGGUGAACCAAGCUUGAGGUACUCGCACACCAGCGGAACAAAAAAUCACAUAAAUAGGCUCCAAGACCUCGACGAAGCCGAGGAAAGAAGAGAAAUGGCCCACAUCAAAAUGGUUGCCCAAAAACAAUAGGUCAAAAGGUACUACAACAAGAGGGCCAAGAUAAGACCACUCAAGGUGGGAGAGAUGUCCUCAAAGCCAAUACAUUAGCAUCCAAAGACCCAAGCGAAGGAAAAUUGGGCACUAAUUGGGACGAACCCUACAAAAUCAUAGCGCCAGCCAAUAAAGGAGCAUUCCAGUUGGAAACAAUUGAAAAUGUUACAAAAUAAUUGGAAUGCCGCCCACCUCAAGUAUUUCCAUUUUUGAAAGGAGUCUCUCGAGUCGUACUCUUUUUUCCUUACUCAAACCAAUAAAGGAGCAUUCUAGUUGGAAACAAUUGAAGGAAAAGCGCUACAAAACAAUUGGAAUGUCGCCCACCUCAAGUAUUUCCAUUUCUUAGAGGUGUCCCCCGAGUCGUACUAUUUUUCCCUUAUCCGAGUUUUGUCCCAAUAGGGUUUUGUCAAGGAGGUUUUUAACGAGGCAGCGGAGGAGACACCUGGAGAUAUUUGCAGAAAAAGUUUAUCAUAUCAACCUCUCCAUACGCUCUCCAGGCUGAUAUGAUAAAGGGACUGGACUAGUAUGAUCUCCAAUGUAUAAAAGGCUACGGCCAUCUCUAAUGUAUAAACGACUAUGAUUAGCUCCAAUGUAUAAACAGCCACGGUCUUCUCCAAUGUAUAAACGACACGACUAUCUCCAACGUAUAAACGGCUACGGCCAUCUCCAAUGUAUAAAUGGUUGCGGCUAUCUCCAAUGUACAAAUGACUACAGCUAUCUCCAACGUAUAAAUGGCCGCCAUCUCCAAUGUAUAAAUGGAUACGGCCAUCUCCAACGUAUAAACGGCUACGGCUAGCUUCAACUUCAUUAUGGCUAAGGUCGUCGCCACCAACAGUCCACCCAGUUGGACUACGGCAAGCAAGGGAUUCGAAUACAGUCGAAGUCACCCAUUUGGCCAAGGCUAUAAAAAAUUAUGACCAAGGUCAUCAACUUAAUUCUGGCCAAGGCCAACGACUUCAUCAUGGCUAAGGCCAUCGCUGCCAACCAUCGAACCAGUUUGACUACAGCAAGCAAGUGAUUCAACGACAUUCGAAGUCACCCAUAUGGUUGGCCAUCAACAAGUUAUGACCAAUAUCAUCAACUUAAUUCUGGCCAAGGCCAUCGACUUCAUCAUGGAUAAGGCUAUCACUGCCAACCGUCGACCUAGUUCGACUACGGCAAGCAAGUGAUUCGACGACAGCCGAAGUCACCCAUAUGGACAAGGCCAUCAACAAGUUGUGACCAAGGUCAUCAACUUAAUUCUAGCCAUGUCCAUCGACUUCAUCAUGGCUAAGGCCACCGCCGCCAACAGUCGACCCAGUUCGACUAUGGCAAGCAAGUGAUUCAACGACGGUCAAAGUCACCUAUAUGGCCAAGGCCAUCAACAAGUUAUGACCACGUUCAUCAACUUAAUUCUGGACAAGGCCAUCGACUUCAUCAUGGCUAAGGCCAUCGCCGCCAACAGUCGACCCAGUUCGAUUACGGCAAGAAAGCGAUUCGACGACAGUCGAAGUCACCCAUAUGGCCAAGGCAUCAACAAGUUAUGACCAAGGUUAUCAACUUAAUUCUGGCCAAGGUCAUCGUCUUCAUCAUGGCUAACGCCGUCGCCACCAACAGUCGACCCGGAUCGACCAUGACAAAUAAGCGAGUUACUCGAUAACACUCGAAGUCACACUUACGGCUAAGACCGUCAAAAUUAUACGGCUAAGGCCACCUAUGCUAUCAUUGGUCGAGGCCAUCGUGAUCGGCUACGACAAAAUAACGACCCGACAUAGGCUGAAGACACAUGUAUGGCUUAGGAUAUCAAUGUUAAAACAACGACCAAGUUCGAUCAUUCCCCACUAAUCGCCGACCUAGUUCAACGGCAGCACAAAGCACUUGAACAACAAGUAGAAACGCAGUAAAAGUCCAACAAGUAAACGAGCACCCAUUCUACGGAGACGGGGCACCAGAGAAACCAAAGAGCAAAGAAAAAGAAUAAAUUAGCAGAAAAGCUGUGUUUCAUUAUCUCCAAAAAUACAUGUACAUCUGACCCUGGAAAAAGGUCCCGCUUAUAUCCAAAUAAGAAGAGAGAAUAAAAUAUAUACAAAACCUAAGAGCCUUUGUCGCUUCGACCACCACGCCCCGCUUGGCCACUAUUUUGUCUGCCAUCACCCCCGGGGUGGUAAGUCUUUGAGAUCCAGGAGCCGAACUCUAGAUGGUUGACGUCUUCAGAAUUGUAGCCCGCUCCAUCGGGGCAAUCAGAGCUAUAACCACAAGUGGCACGGGCAACACGGGCUAAGCAUUAUUGCUCCUCAACCUCCGCCUCAAUGGCUUGACCUACAUAUAAGUACUUCUCGAGUACGACCAAUCUAGCCUCGGCAUGCGCCUACAUUUUGUGCCCCUAACGAUGAACAUCAUCUUCGGGCUUUGAUAAAGUGGCCCGCUCAACGGCCUCAACUUUAGCUGCCUUGGAGUCGAGCUCAGUGGUCAAAGCGGCGUUCUCUGGUCUGCAACCGAGUAGCCUCCACCGCUACUCCGUGGCUGUUCUCCAACUUCUCUUGUUUUGAUUGAAGGAGAGUCUCUAGCUCGACAUUCCGAGCCAAAGCACCCAUCAGUUGCUCAUCAACCUGCUCGAACUCGGCCACCCUCCAUUUCAAUCGAGCCUCUGAUUGUUCAAGGCCCUCACGAAACACCCUAAACUGAGGGUCCUGCUUGAACACAUCUGCCAACGCCUGAUGCGCGGCACGACGUUAUUUGUACUUUUUUGCCAUUUUGUGGAAGGUGGCCGCCUUCUUCUGCUCAUGCCGCCUCCUCUUCACCUCCAAGACAAGGGUCUAAGAAGAAGAGGAAAGAAAGGAAAUACAAGUCAGUACGUAUCAAAUUCGCCUUUACGACCCACAAAAGAAAAACUGAAAGCUACUUGCAAGGCUACACCAGCGAUCCUUUGAGACAGGUCACUGUUACUGACGCCCUUCAACAUCUCACGCUCUGUGUCCGUACAUAGCAGGGUCAUCUUCGCUGGGGCCUGCUUGCUGCUCUCCAGUAAAUUAUACCCACUCGGGAUUAGGAUUCGGCAGGUAGACCUACCCUCCCUCAUCUCCACGCGGGCUAGAUCCCUUCUUACAUCUCCAAGAGCGGCCUCAGGGCCCGUCCUCUCAAUCUCAACGCCCGCUUCCCCAACUGUAGAGGAAGACCCGCCCUCCGGGAUGCGGGCUGAGCUGGCAGUGGCGGCAGUUGUCCUUAAGGGAGCUAACCUCUCUGAAUGGAUGUCCUCGGCCGUAAAAACUGGCCUUGGCUCUCGAUAGGGCUCGCUAGUCCUCACGUCCUCAGUCGCAAUCCCCUUACCCGUAAUCAGCUGUCGUUGUUUUCUCUCCAGAGGCUCUUCACCUUCAAAAGCCUCCUCUAUAGGCUUAGGAGGCGGCUAUGAGGGGACCCCCUCAUCAGAGGGCGCAGCCUCAGCCACGGCCUCAGGUGUCGUCACUGGUACAACUUCAGGCGCCGACUAACAUGCCGCCACCGGCGCAGCCCCCUGCUGAGAACCCGCAAUAGCGCUGUCACUAGGCGAGUCGCAUGAUACAACUUCGUCAUCAGAGUCGACCUCCGCCUAGACGGGGCAACUACGAUCAUCUUCCUUCUAGAAACAACCCGAUCUUCCAACAUAAGCGAGUCAGGUAACAAAAAUUUAAGGGGCUUUUGAAAUCGAAGCAAAAACUCAAAAAAGAACAACCUGACAGGCCGUACAGGUUACGGAAUGCGGGCCAAGUGCGGCACUCCUCCGUGUAAUGUAUCAAUCUCUCCACCUACGAUCUAAUAUUUCGAUGAACCGGUUUGGAGAAGUCGCCACUACAAAAAAGAGAAAAAGAAAUCACAACGGCUGAUGAGUCAGGACCCCAAUUAAUCACGAAAUCCACGCAAAGAUACUUACAUUCUGAGUUCCGCCUCUCCGGGAACCCUUCAGGAUCAGACACCAGGUGCUCCGUCCUGAUGUAGAAAUAUCUUUUCCAGAAGCCGCAAUUAGUCUUAUCGUCAGACUUCACUACAAAGCUCUUCGUACCACGACUCUUCUGAUGGAGCAUGGUACCCCUCAAGUAACUAGGGCUGGACAUCUACAGGAGAUGAUGAACCGAGACCUCGCUCCUCGCCCUAGCGCGUAUGUAAUAAGGAUUCUACACACCUUCAACGUAUAGGGCGUGAGCUAGGCUGGACACACCAUGUAAAAGCAGCAUACAUCCUCCGUUAAAGGGUUGAAUGGUAGGGUGUAUCCGAUCCUAAACAAAUACUCGUAAAAAGUACAAAACCCAAGCCUAUGCACAUUAGCAUAGUCCGUCCUAGCCGGUACCAUUUCGGACUUCACUAUAAAGCUCUUUGUACCAUGGCUCUUCAAAUGAAGCAUGGUACCUCUAAAGUAGCUUGGGUUGAACAUCUGCAGAAGAUGAUGAACCGAGAUCUCGCUCCUCGCCCUGGCCACAUACGUAGUUAGGAUUCUACACACCUUCAACAUAUAGGGCGUGAGCUGGGCUGGACACACCCUGUAAAAGCAACAUAGCUCCUCCGCGAAAGGUAUCCAAUCCUAAACGGAUACUCAUAACAAGUACAAAAACCAGGCCUAUGCACAUUGACGUAAUCCAUAUCAGCCAGAACCAUUUCUACAUGGCCCGAAAUGUUGUACGUCAAUCAGAGGGUGUCUAAGUGGGAUUGUAGCAGUUCACUGUGCUCCUAAGGAAUAAACGAGCUCUUCAUUUUAAGAUCACUUCGAACGUGCAUCUCUUUCGGGAGCACAUUAUCUACCGAAAGAGGAACAAGGUCCUUUUCAACCUCUUCCUCUCCACCGCAGGAAGAUGGAACCCUAGAAGGAGCAGUGUCCUUAGUUUUGUUGCUGCUCUGACGGCGUUUCGCCAUAUGAACUGGUUUUGAGAUACUGGUGAUGGGAAACACAACCACACAGAAAGAGGGAAGGUCUCACACGAGAUAUCAAUUACAAGAAAGCAAGACAGAAGAAGGAAUAAGAAAAUACUCCCAACAGUUCGAAAGAUGAAUCAGUUUGAACAUUUCCCCUAUUUAUAGGAUGAAGUUACGCAGAAAUCGAAAAAGUAUGAUCAGAACGGGCACGGGAAACCAAAAUGGCACAUCAUCGCCUGAACUACCUCAGGAACAAAAGUAAUAAUGAUGCAUGCGGGCGAUGACGUCAUCUUAAAAGGGAAAUCACACAUCAAUGAAUCAACAAUGUUGGGCAAAUUAUGUCGUUCAUGUUGCCUCGUGAGUACGAGGUCAAAUUCUCCAAAAGACGAGGUUCGCGCUUCCGUCCAUUGGAGACGUCCAUCGGGCAGAUCCCCAACGAAAGGAGGGACUAACUUUAUAUGGUCAAAUUUGGACUUCAACGUCCCCAUGUCAACAUGUAUGCCCAACGGGUAGACACCGGUCAGAGUGAGGGCACAACCCGGGCGUGAGGGUAAAGGUGACAUCAUUUAGAACUUAACUUCUUUACUAAGCGGGAGCCACCUACUUUUGUACUUUUUCUUUGAUUAUUUCAAGGAAGGUCUCCUAUUAUAUAAAGUAGACCUUCACAUUGUAACAAGGAGGAUGAUUUUCGAAUAACACAAUUUCUCUCUCUUUCUCUACCUUUGUUUCCUACAAUUGCUUCUCUCUUAAGUUAAGAUUAUUUUUUAUCUUUGAGAUCUAUAACUACGAUAUCAUCCGUGUGACCUCUAGGUCAAAUUAUAUUUAAUUACGAUUUACCUUUGUUAUCUUUUGAUUGUUUUUCAAACUUGCAAAGUAUAUCGAUAACUUUCAAGCCAAACAAUAUAUAAGAGUGAAGUUGAGCUUAUAUCAUUAGAUGGACAUUUCCUUGAUCAAGAAAUAGUUUUCAUUAGAAAGAGCAAAUGUAGAUUAGUGGCCUCCAUCGCAUUUUACAGGGGUCUCCGAUUAAGAAGGCCGAAUCUGUGGACCGUCAUAAUUUAUGAUAACAAAGGCUUGCGUAGCAUUAUUGAUCAAAAAAAUUGCAGAAAUAUGAUACUCUUUGGGGGUGGUAUGUAACUUUUGAACUCCAUUAAAAUUCAUCACCUAUAAAUGAUUUUUGGCACGCUUUAGAAUAUAGAUGACAAAAUACUAAGAAACUAUAAUUUAGCUGAAAAAUGUCUAGUUUGCUAAAAGCUUAACAAAAAUUACUCAUGUAAAAGAGUAAUAGGAUACUAGAAGAGAGUUAUUCUAAGCUUCCGUUUGGCCAUAAAUUUUUGUUUAUACAUUUUUUUCAAAAAUAUUUUUAAAAUAUUGUUUAGUUGUAAAAUAUUACUUACUAGUUUUGGGCAAUUUUUGUCAUUUUGAAGAUAAAUUUUUCAAGUUUCAAAAGUGAUUUAGACUAGUUUUUCAAAAUUUUGUAGUUUUCACGCCUAAAAAUUUAACUUUUUAAGUAAAAUACAUGUCCAAACAUAAUUUCAACCUCCAAGACUAUUUCUCAUCUAAUCUUUAAAAAUCUUUUUCUUCAAGUUUCAAUCAAAUUUAUAUUCAAAUGCUAGUUAAAACUUUGAUGCAGUAAAAUCUAAGCAAAGUCCAAUCCCAUUAUUUUAUAUUAACCUCAAUUAAAAUUUGAGAAAACAAAUGUGGAUUUGUAUAUAUCAUAAAGAUAUUUCAAGUUCAUUGAAAGUUUUAAGGGAUAAAUCUGGUAAAACACUUCUAAAAUGAAAAGAGAACAUCAAAGUAUCACGUGAAACGAAUGAUAUUCCAGCCCCGAGAAUAGAAAAAUUCCAAAUAUUAGAUGGUUAAACAUAUUGAAAAGAGAAAUUAUAAAAUUCCACAUUUUAUAUUCUUGUAUUGAGUAAUUUUCACCUUUUAAAAAAAACUUUCGGAGUCUUAUUGUCCUGAAAAGAUGCCAUAGAAGCAGUUAUCUAUGGUGAAAUUUGCAGGACGGCUUAAGCUCAUCUUCAAGUAACAUAAAUGGAGAAAAUCAUCAAAAGCCAAAAAAGAUUUGAAGAGUCUGUCAGACAGCCAUUGGACCAUCCCAGCAACCAUGGUUAGGGGCUGAGAACGAUCAUCUACGGCGCCAUGACCCAAGGGCCAUGGGAACUGUUAAUCACGCUCUGGUCCACUGGGCAUGCCUCAUCAACCAGACUUGGUUUUCUAUCUCCUUAGAACUCAAGGUUACAGUGGUACGAGCCUAUAGAACAGAUCCUGUUCAAGUAAGGUCGUGAACUUAGUAUUUGCCAUUCGUGCUUAUAAAUGCUUUCUCUGCGCUGUAUAUUACCGAUGCGGGACAGAGAGAGUAUCAUUCUGUCUGUAAAAGAGGUGGAAUUGAGUCAACUUUCUUAUGAAGAGAUUAACAGGUUUGCUUUUACAACUAUUAUGAAAUGAAAGCAGGCCGUUUGAUGCUAACAAUUU